rnacentral:tRNA from 1 species
UGGUGUAGCUCAAUAGGUAGAGCAGCUGACUUGUAAUCAGCAGGUUGGGGGUUCGAUUCCUCUCGCC